rnacentral:rRNA from 1 species
CUACGGGAGGCAGCAGGGGGGAAUAUUGGACAAUGGGGGCAACCCUGAUCCAGCCAUAGCCGCGUGUGUGAAGAAGGCCCGAGGGUUGUAAAGCACUUUCAAUUGUGAAGAAAAGUUAGCGGUUAAUAACCGUUAGCCUUGACGUUAACUUUAGAAGAAGCACCGGCUAACUCCGUGCCACGCAGCCGCGAUAAU